rnacentral:misc_RNA from 1 species
CCACUGUAUGUCUCACUGUAUACAAUUUCCAUAAACUAAUCAUAAUGUUUUCUUUCUUCUUGUAUAGACUGGAAAAUCCGGGCUGCUGAUUCAGUUGCUGACCUACGAUUGUGAGGCACAACCCUUAUCACACAUGUCUGUGGCUCAAUAGUUUGAGCAUUUUGAUCUGAUGCCUGAGCUGUUGGUUCUGUAGGAAAAAGAGGGAGCGCAUCUCCUUCAGGCCUCUCCGAGGGACUACUUGCUGUACUUCCCUGUACCUCACUUUCCUUUGGUGCUUGAAAUUUCCCAACACGUGAGAUCACACGGCUCACCUGGCUUGACAUAUUAUAUGAGCUUUGGUGGGGGAAGUUGAAAUUAACUGCUAACUGAUUAUCCUUUGACUGUGGUCCAGUGAAUGGGCUCACCCGCUCAACUGCUGAUCCUGAAAUGGACAGAGUCAUGACUGGCAUGCCAUAUGGUGGAAAGUAUGUCUGUCCCAGAUGAGGGGUGCUGGUAAGGAUUCCAAUACCUUGUUGAUGAGAAGCCGGAACACCAUAGGCUGCAUUCAAAAAGUCUCCACCCCCAGCUGUUAAACUCAUAGGACCAAAGUUGCCAUAAACGGGGGCCACAAAUCCAGCAGCUGAAGGGCAUGGCCCUGUGUAAGGCUUGUAAACAAGACCCUCAGAAGGGGACAUGACCGGAAAUAACCA